rnacentral:misc_RNA from 1 species
ACUUACUUACAAAAUGGCAGGAGAAUGGGAUAGACAUGGCCUAAGUCACAGCAGUUUUCAUAUUUUGGUAAUGUGCUUCACUUUGACCCUAGGACAAGUUGCCGCAACCCCUGAAAUCAGAGUGCUCACCCCAAACGUUUACCAAUACUGGUACCUAACAAAGUUCGGAAUUCCUAGCCAAGAGUCGACUCACCUAGCUUUCAAAGUCCAGGCCUGCAAUGACGCACACAUGUUGCUGAAACCCAGUAAUAGAAGGCCCAUUGAAAUUGUUCUAGGCGGCUGGAGUAACUCAAAUUCCUGCUUAAGAACCCGGGUACAGGGACCAUGUCGAGAUCAAUACGACGGAAAUAUACUUGACUGUAAAGAGUUCAAAGAGUUCGUAAUAAGCUGGAAAGAUGGUAACAUUAUGGUAGGACACAUGAACUCCGGAUUUAGGGAUCUUAUGCUGGACUUUCAACUCAAGAAACCUUUGUCUAAUGUGACAAUUGGGAUCUCUACCGGGUUCGGAGCAACAGGAAUAUGGACGUUCGAAGAUACCAGAACAAACACUACAGAUACAACAGUGCCGUCCGUCCCAGUAACAUCAACAGACAAACUGACCACCAAUGAAGGAUCACAAAACGCACAAGUAAUCAAUGUUGAAGGCAAAUCAUCUGAAAUGACCAACAGCUACACGGCAGUUGGAGCGACUGCCGCAGUUCUUGCUCUCCUUGCAUUUAUAGUCGUAGGUGCCAUCCUGUGGCGGAGGUUGAUUCGUCGUCCAGGUAAAUGAAUAAGAAAUGGAUAAUAUCUGCAGUUCCAGAACAAAUUGUUUUGUCCAUUGAGACUUGAUAAAGUUCUUUUGAACAUGCUUUAUUCUGUAAAGAUUGAUGAUAUACCAAAUUGUUUCUUUCAAGAAAAAUUAAAGUGACAACUUUUCGCGACGCGACACAUUAACAAAGCACCAGAAAGUCGAAAUAUUGCCUUGAAACAUAAACAUGUAAGCUUAUGAGUGUUGUUUGUUUGUUAUUUUCCAGGUCCGAGUCCGAAUAUUGAAAUCAUAAACCCGGGAUUUAAUGGGAAAGAAAUGAGCACCUACGAAAUAAUACACAACCACUACCCAGAAGAGAACCUUUACACAGACAUUGGCACUCUCGAUAUUGCCAAAGUUCACGAAAACGGUGCAUAUUACGAUACCGCUGAACCCUUAGAAGAUAAAAACAUGUAUUUACGUAUGUUAGAUGCUUCUAGCGAGGAAAUGCAACGUACUUCCAAUUAUUUGUCAACGUCAAAUACCAAGCAACCUAGCAAAGGGAGAUCGUCAAACACGAAACAACAAACUGAGGACGGUCAAGCAAACUAUUAUGUUGAUAUACCUACCUUGUGCCAAGACCUUCCGUGAAAAAGCAGUAAAAGCAAAAUUUAUUGACAAUAAAGGAUACAC